AGAGUUUGAUCAUGGCUCAGGAUGAACGCUAGCGGCAGGCUUAAUACAUGCAAGUCGAGGGGCAGCACGGGUAGCAAUACCUGGUGGCGACCGGCAAACGGGUGCGGAACACGUACGCAACCUUCCUUCAAGUGGGGGAUAGCCCAGGGAAACUUGGAUUAAUACCCCUUAACAUUGUGAACUGGCAUCAGUUUAUAAUUAAAGCUCCGGUGCUUGAAGAUGGGCGUGCGGCUGAUUAGGUAGUUGGCGGGGUAAUGGCCCACCAAGCCUACGAUCAGUAACUGGUGUGAGAGCACGACCAGUCACACGGGCACUGAGACACGGGCCCGACUCCUACGGGAGGCAGCAGUAAGGAAUAUUGGGCAAUGGACGCAAGUCUGACCCAGCCAUGCCGCGUGGAGGAUGAAGGUCCUCUGGAUUGUAAACUUCUUUUAUUUGGGAAGAAACCCAUAUUUUCUAAUGUGGUUGACGGUACCAGAUGAAUAAGCACCGGCUAACUCCGUGCCAGCAGCCGCGGUAAUACGGAGGGUGCAAGCGUUAUCCGGAUUCACUGGGUUUAAAGGGUGCGUAGGCGGGUUGGUAAGCCCGUGGUGAAAUCUCCGAGCUUAACUCGGAAACUGCCGUGGAUACUAUCAGUCUUGAAUAUCGUUGAGGUAAGCGGAAUAUGUCAUGUAGCGGUGAAAUGCUUAGAUAUGACAUAGAACACCAAUUGCGAAGGCAGCUUACUGAACGGUCAUUGACGCUGAGGCACGAAAGCGUGGGGAGCAAACAGGAUUAGAUACCCUAGUAGUCC
rnacentral:rRNA from 1 species